GGGUUUGUGGCUCAGUGGUAGAGCGUUCGCCUAGCAUGUGCAAGGUCCUGGGUUCGACCCUCAGCAGCACCA
rnacentral:tRNA from 1 species